UGGGCACAACACGGCCCUCCUCACAGAUGAGGACUUCGUCCUCCCAGUGGGGGCAAAGGACGUCUCCCAAGACCCCCGGUCAACAGCCUGCCAGCGCAUCCGCCUAAGCCAAUGUCGACCCAAUACAGAUUGGAAUUCCUACAGGAACUGCAGGACUGUGUAUCAAAGCAGCUGUACCAUUUCACACUCCUGCUAGAAGUACCUGAGGGUUUGUUUCUUCACAUCUUCACCAACAGUCUGUCUUUCCCCUAGGUGAUCCUGAAGUCCCAUCAUUAGCCUCAGCCCUUCUGGACCACCAUGAAAAGUCUGUCAUCCAUUUCUGCCUAACCACAGCUCUGCAACUUGGGAGAAAUUCAAGAGGACACACCAGAAACAAUGAGCCUGUUCUUACAGCAAUCUGAGAGAAGCUGGGCUCACAUGGUCCUUCCUAUCCUGAUAUGUCCCAGUGUCUGGGAGGUUUUCUUGGAUUCAAGAGGAAUCUCCCACAUCUGACACUCAUCUUGGCAGUAAGCACACCACAGCCUUCCUGCACCUAGGACCACCAGAUAACCCCUCAGCACUACACUUGGAAACUGCUUUCAACGGUAAAAUUGCCCCCCAAAGCAGAAAAAUGUGAGAAACGGUGGCACUUAGGAGAAUGUAAAAAGACAUUUGUUCACAGUUUCUAAGUGAAAACAAGAAGGCAGAGCAGCUGCUUUGUUUGACCUCGGCCAGGAAUGUGGCAACUCAAAGUUUUCAUCCCACUGCACAUGCGCAUGGAUGCAAAAGGCCACCAGGCUGUCAAAGAACACUGCAAUGGAGUACUGACCCUGGGGUUUCAAAUAAAUUAUAGUGAGUAGGUGACUUCCCAAAUAUGGAAUCCACACUUAAUGAGGAUCACCUGUACCUACCUGGCAAAGAUGUGAUGUCUGAGAGUUAAUAAAAAAGAAGCAUUUAGGAUGUACCCUGAAUGCAGUAAACACAGGCAAAAAUGCUACUUUCUUAUGAUUCUUAUUACCAUUGUCCCUGGGAGACUCUAGCCCUGAGUCAU